rnacentral:rRNA from 1 species
GUCGAGCGAGAACCGUAGCAAUACGGGGACAGCGGCGAAAGGGACAGUAAUGUGUAGGUACCUACCCCUGGGUUCGGGAUAGCUGCGGGAAACUGCAGGUAAUACCGAAUAAUGUCUCCGGACCAAAGGUGUGAUUCCACCUGGGGAGGGGCCUGCAUCCUAUUAGCUAGUUGGCGGGGUAACGGCCCACCAAGGCAACGAUGGGUAGCGGGUGUGAGAGCACGACCCGCGUCAUUGGGACUGAGAUACUGCCCAGACACCUACGGGUGGCUGCAGUCGAGGAUCUUCGGCAAUGGGCGAAAGCCUGACCGAGCGACGCCGCGUGCGGGAUGAAGGCCUUCGGGUUGUAAACCGCUGUCGUUGGGGAGGAAGUGCAGGGGGGUUCUCCCCUCUGUUUGACCUAUCCAAGGAGGAAGUACGGGCUAAGUUCGUGCCAGCAGCCGCGGUAAGACGAACCGUACGAACGUUAUUCGGAAUUACUGGGCUUAAAGGGUGCGUAGGCGGCGCGGUAAGUUGGAUGUGAAAGCCCUCAGCUCAACUGAGGAACUGCAUUCAAAACUACCGUGCUCGAGGGAGACAGAGGUAAGCGGAACUCAAGGUGGAGCGGUGAAAUGCGUUGAUAUCUUGAGGAACACCGGUGGCGAAGGCGGCUUACUGGGUCUUUUCUGACGCUGAGGCACGAAAGCUAAGGUAGCAAACGGGAUUAGAUACCCCGGUAGUCUUAGCUGUAAACGAUGAGCACUUGUUUGAAGGGUCCUCCAUAGCCUUUCAGACGUAGCGAAAGUGUUAAGUGCUCCGCCUGGGGAGUAUGGUCGCAAGGC